rnacentral:rRNA from 1 species
UGGGGGAUAUUGCACAAUGGGCGAAAGCCUGAUGCAGCGCCGCCGCGCGGGGGAUGAAGGCCUUCGGGUUGUAAACUUCUUUUGCUCUGAACAAGGCAUGCCUUUGGGGCGUGUUGAGUGUAGGGGUUGAUUAGCGCCGGCUAACUACGUGCCAGCAGCCGCAGUAAUACGUAGGGCGCGAGCGUUGUCCGGAAUUAUUGGGCGUAAAGGGCUUGUAGGUGGCUGGUUGCGUCUGUCGUGAAAGCUCAUGGCCUAACUGUGGGUUUGCGUUGGGUACGGGAGGGUUUGAGUGAAGUAGGGGAGGCGGGAAUUCCUGGGGUGGCGGUGGAAGGCGCGGAUAUCAGGAGGAAUACGGGUGGGGAGGGCGGGUCUCUGGGCUGUUACGGACGCUGGGGAGCGAAGGCGUGGGGAGCGAACAGGA